rnacentral:rRNA from 1 species
CCUACGGGUGGCAGCAGUGAGGAAUAUUGGACAAUGGUCGGAAGACUGAUCCAGCCAUGCCGCGUGCAGGAAGACGGCCUUAUGGGUUGUAAACUGCUUUUGCAGGGGAAGAAUAAGGAGUACGUGUACUUUGAUGACGGUACUCUGCGAAUAAGCAUCGGCUAACUCCGUGCCAGCAGCCGCGGUAAUACGGAGGAUGCGAGCGUUAUCCGGAAUCAUUGGGUUUAAAGGGUCCGUAGGCGGGCUAAUAAGUCAGAGGUGAAAGCGCUCAGCUCAACUGAGCAACUGCCUUUGAAACUGUUAGUCUUGAAUGGUUGUGAAGUAGUUGGAAUGUGUAGUGUAGCGGUGAAAUGCUUAGAUAUUACACAGAACACCGAUAGCGAAGGCAUAUUACUAACAAUUAAUUGACGCUGAUGGACGAAAGCGUGGGGAGCGAACAGGAUUAGAUACCCCUGUAGUC